AGUUCAGAUUUCCUCGGCAGUUAACUGCAGCCGAAUUUACAAAACUUCGGCAGUUAAUUGCCGAGGAG
rnacentral:pre_miRNA from 1 species